UUUACAAGUUACGCGAACUAAAGAAUUGUGCAAUGGGUAGUGUAAUGGGACUAUUUUCCGGCAAGAAUAAGUCUGCUGAGACCGAUGGAGAUAUGGAAGUAAGUAAGUUUCAAUACCCCAGACUUCUAGUCGAUGGGAGGCUCGAUGUGCCGACAAUACAACAUUUUCUAAUUCUCGAAACAGAAGGGACUCUUUUUUACGAUGAAGACGGCGAUGUGGCACAUGAAUUCUACGAAGAAAUUAGGGUAGACGGAGGACGGCGAAGUACAAUGAGAAGAAUAACUCGUAACCUCACACCACAGGAUGGAAUUGAUGACUUUUGAAUUUCUGGUGGUCAGUUGUUUUGGCCAGUUUUCGUGCAUAUUGAAACUUGCGAAAAGGUGACAUGUCAACUGUUUUCUGCCUGGACUGGUGAGAUUGAGAAUUCCACGACUUCCUGCUGACUUUCCAUUAGUAAUGUGUCAGAUUUAGUGCUGCGACUUGCACAUGUUUGGCAAUGCUAGCAAAUUCUGUACAUGUGUAAUCAAUCUCGUAUAUACAUAUAUAUAUACAUAUAUAUAUAUUUGGGCUAUAAUGAUAGCAGCCACUUGCCAACAAUGUAUAUAUAAGACAUUGGUACUAUCUGUUAUGAAAGGUAAAACGUCAAUAUAUACAUCUGAUAUGUAUGGCAUGUUAUAAC